rnacentral:rRNA from 1 species
GAUGAACGCUGGCGGCGUGCCUAAUACAUGCAAGUCGAGCGAACAGAUGAGGAGCUUGCUCCUCUGACGUUAGCGGCGGACGGGUGAGUAACACGUGGAUAACCUACCUAUAAGACUGGGAUAACUUCGGGAAACCGGAGCUAAUACCGGAUAAUAUAUUGAACCGCAUGGUUCAAUAGUGAAAGACGGUUUUGCUGUCACUUAUAGAUGGAUCCGCGCCGCAUUAGCUAGUUGGUAAGGUAACGGCUUACCAAGGCAACGAUACGUAGCCGACCUGAGAGGGUGAUCGGCCACACUGGAACUGAGACACGGUCCAGACUCCUACGGGAGGCAGCAGUAGGGAAUCUGCCGCAAUGGGCGAAAGCCUGACGGAGCAACGCCGCGUGAGUGAUGAAGGUCUUCGGAUCGUAAAACUCUGUUAUUAGGGAAGAACAAAUGUGUAAGUAACUAUGCACGUCUUGACGGUACCUAAUCAGAAAGCCACGGCUAACUACGUG